UUUCUCAGCAAGAAGAGGGGGAUUGGCAGCAGUUAGCACAGGGCUAAUCUUCCUCAAAAAAGAAAAAUAAAUGGACAUUUUAAGGAACAGAUUGUAGCAGCCCUGACCUCCAAUCCCCACAGGGACCCGUGCUGCUGCUGGGUUGGUUUGCUGGUUUGGUAAUUGCCAGACUGACAGUCGGUCUGUCUGCCCCACGGCAGGCAGCUGAUGGUGACUGUGCCCCAUCUCUGGGUUUCGGUUUCCCUUCUUGCCUUGAUUUAUUUUUUAAAUAGUAAAGAGUUGAUUCUGGUUUGAUUAGUUGUGGAGGGUCAUUCCUUUAUUUGAAGCAUCUUCUGUUUCCCAUCUUUAUUUUGAUGUGGCUUCCUCUGCGAAUCGCCCCUGGGUCGGCCUGGCCUCGCGGUCAGCCGCUGAUGGCUAGGAGCCUGUGUUCCAAUCCGUGUGUCCAAGGCCCCGGCAUGUGGCCCUGGGCUCCCUUGGGCGGUUUGCCCCUCGACCUGCCUUGCUCAUGCCCGUCCCUCAGCCUGGCACACGGCCUCCCGUCGAGCAGGUUGCGCAAGUUUCUGCAUGCAGGGCGCUCUCUCCGGCUCUCCCGAGUGUGCACACGGUGUUCUGGACCUCGGCCUGUGUGGGGCCGGCUGUGGCUGUCUCGUUCCCUGGACUCCUGUCCGGUCGCCUACGUGUUUGCAGGGCUUGGCCUGGCCAGCAGGCACCAAAAACCCAGGCAGAACAUCCCGCCAACUCCACCGCUCGUGCCUGCCACCCAGGCGUUUUUUGUGAAUAAACGCUUCUUAAUUGUCAGAUGCCUUUGCUUAAUCUCCAGAAUCCCGGAAUGGUUGUUUCCGACAGCUCCUCUAGUUUAUUGUUGCUUUUAGGGAGCGGAUUUGCUAAGAGUCUCACCCGUAAUUGUGGAAACGCACAUUCUUUUGUUUGAAUGGCUUCGACUUUAUUUUCAGAGAUUUGGAUUUAUGUUAAUGUUUACAGAGAGCCAGCUCACCAAAUCCUUGAUUUCAGGAUGAGGCCAAUUUAAAAAUGAGUUCCUUGGGAGGGAACGAAAAAUACACAUGGAAUUUGAAAAUGACAAAAGCGUGUGUGUGAGAUAGUUUCUGAUGAAUGGCAGCAAAAUCCAAAAUAAUACUGACUUAUUAGACAUGAAUUCAGAUCUGUCUCAUGUCAGAGUCUGGAGUUGGGGCCUCAGGCUCCUGUCUUAGUGCUAUAGUAUGUGCCACCUGUAUGUCCAAGAUCACCUCAUGGCCCAGAAUGGCUGCUGGUGCUCCAUCUAUCCAUUCCACAUUCCAGCCAUCAACAAAGGGGGGGAAGAAAGGCCCACCCACCCCUUAGAGACCCUCUCUGGAAACUGACACAUUGGUCUCUCUCAUGUGCCCAUUGGCCAGAACAGUCACAUGACACAUGUGGCUGCACGGGGAACAGAAACGCAGCCUUCUUCUGGUGCCUGUACCCAGCUGCGGUUGUGCUGUUGCUCUGGAAGGAGGGGCUGGGCACCAGGGGCCAGGCGAGAAGCAGGCUCAUGAGGCCUGACACACAGGAAGCGAGGGGUGAGCUCACAGCUCACUUGCUGAUGAGGAAACCGAGGCACAGAGAAGGGACACAUUUGCCUGAUGCUGCGUGGCCAGGCCUGGAACCAGUGCCUCUCAAGCCCUGCGCGUCAUGGUGACCCAGGACCACGUGGCCAUGGUGAGUGAGGUCAGAGGUUGGGGCCUCAAGCCACGUGGCUCGGCUCCCACAUUAACCUCAGCUCAAGGUCCUGGAACCAGUGGGGCCAUUGUGUGACACAGGCCACAAACCACGGGCCUCCACCAGCCCCAACUCCGCGGCUCCUGGUGACAGCAGCCAGCUCCUCCCUCUGCCCUGCCGGCCACUGCCCCCCUCCCCCAUGUCUCCCAGCAACCCCGAGGGGCGGGCGACAUCAUUCCCUUGUCACAGAUGACACAAGGGGGGCUCAGAGGGGACGAGGCGUUCGCCCAGGCCGACACAGCGGUCGAGACCUGGAGUCCAAUUCUCGUCCCUUGAGCUUGGCUUGGGCCCCACCCUGAGUCUGGAGGUGACAGUGUGGCUGCCAGUGGGGGUCACCCCUUCCACCUUGCUCGCUGGGACACUCACUCUUGAAGCCACCAGCCGCCAUCUCACAGCCCCACUGCCCGGAGGCCGCCAUGUUGUGAGGAAGCCCAAGCAAGCCCGUGCUGAGAGACCACCGAGCCCACCGGUGGAGAGGGGGCGUCCAGCCACCCCCCACUGCUCCACCCGCCCUGACACACAGGAACCAUGAGUGAGAAUAAACUGAGUGUUUCAAGCCA